GGAGUUCAGUGUGUCCACCAGCAAACUGCAGGGUACCACACUUCUCACCCAGGCUAUUCCGGAAGAAAACACUAUCCAAAUCCUGUGCACUGACAUCCUGCAAUGUCUGGACACCUCAGUCACUGGAAUGACCCAAGUGUUAUGGCCAAGGCUUCUCGAAUAUGUGGUGCCAGCUCAGUACACUGGUACUU